rnacentral:rRNA from 1 species
GAUGAACGCUAGCGGCAGGCUUAACACAUGCAAGUCGAGGGGUAGAAGUUGCUUGCAACUUUGAGACCGGCGCACGGGUGCGUAACGCGUAUGCAAUCUACCUUGUACAGGGGGAUAGCCCAGAGAAAUUUGGAUUAAUACCCCAUAGUGUAAUUGAAUGGCAUCAUUUGAUUACUAAAGUUCCAACGGUACAAGAUGAGCAUGCGUCCUAUUAGCUAGUUGGUGUGGUAACGGCAUACCAAUGCAACGAUAGGUAGGGGUCCUGAGAGGGAGAUCCCCCACACUGGUACUGAGACACGGACCAGACUCCUACGGGAGGCAGCAGUGAGGAAUAUUGGUCAAUGGGCGCAAGCCUGAACCAGCCAUGCCGCGUGCAGGAAGAAGCAUCUAUGGUGUGUAAACUGCUUUUGUACGGGGAGAAACACUCCUACGUGUAGGAAUUUGACGGUACCGUAAGAAUAAGGAUCGGCUAACUCCGUGCCAGCCGCCGCAGUAAGAC